CAUACAUUAAGAGGGAAGUCCAGAAGCAGGGCAUUCUGUCCCUCCUGGAGAGGGUCAUGUUGGGAGUGUCGUAACUGCACCAGAUCGGUGUAAGCUAACUUAUGAUUGGAUGCUAUAGACUAUGCUGCACACGUGCACUUUCAGGUAAAUUAGCCAAUACUCCCUUUCCUCCAACAAUGGUGUUGUGAGCUUGUAGAGGGAAGCAGACUAAUAUUAUCUUUAUUGUGAGGAACAGUGGGCAAGCUGUUGGAGGUGAUUCCCAAAUGGACCCCAUGGCACUUGAAUAAUAGAGAAACAAGCCAUUAACAACUACCAGCAAUUAAAGAGAGACCACAGAAGUUUCCACAGGGAUUGAUAAAUACUGUUACUCUCAGGAGGCUGUCUGAUAACAGCAGCUUUUUAUGGAAAAAUAGCGAAUACUACAUUGAACUUGGAAGGUGCCCUUAUCUGGAGUUCUCUGCUACUUCUAGACUAAGAAAUUGGUGGUAGUAUACCUAAUAUACUAUUCCUCAUUUUGAUACCAUGUACCCUAUUUAUUUGAGACUGUUGCAGCAAUUAUUUGUUACUAAGUAGCAUUCUAUAUUCUCAUAUUUAUUAUAUCUAUUUUUUGUGUUUGUAUAGUUGUGUAA